rnacentral:rRNA from 1 species
CACUCUAGAGAGACUGCCAGGGAUAACCUGGAGGAAGGUGGGGAUGACGUCAAAUCAUCAUGCCCCUUAUGCUUAGGGCUACACACGUGCUACAAUGGGUAGUACAGAGGGUUGCCAAGCCGUAAGGUGGAGCUAAUCCCUUAAAGCUACUCCCAGUUCGGAUUGUAGGCUGAAACUCGCCUACAUGAAGCUGGAGUUACUAGUAAUCGCAGAUCAGAAUGCUGCGGUGAAUGCGUUCCCGGGUCUUGUACACACCGCCCGUCACACCACGGGAGUUGGAGACGCCCGAAGCCGAUUAUCUAACCUUUUGGAAGAAGUCGUCGAAGGUGGAAUCAAUAACUGGGUGAAGUCGUAACAAGGUAGCCGUAUCGGAAGGUGCGGCUGGAUCACCUCCU